rnacentral:rRNA from 1 species
GAUGAACGCUGGCGGCGUGCCUAAUACAUGCAAGUCGAGCGAACAGAUGCGGAGCUUGCUCCUCUGACGUUAGCGGCGGACGGGUGAGUAACACGUGGAUAACCUACCUAUAAGACUGGGAUAACUUCGGGAAACCGGAGCUAAUACCGGAUAAUAUAUUGAACCGCAUGGUUCAAUAGUGAAAGUCGGUUUUGCUGUCACUUAUAGAUGGAUCCGCGCCGCAUUAGCUAGUUGGUAAGGUAACGGCUUACCAAGGGAACGAUGCGUAGCCGACGUGAGAGAGUGAUCGGCCACACUGGAACUGAGACGCGGUCCAGACUCCUACGGGAGGCAGCAGUAGGGAAUCUUCCGCAAUGGGCGAAAGCCUGACGGAGCAACGCCGCGUGAGUGAUGAAGGUCUUCGGAUCGUAAAACUGUGUUAUUAGGGAUGAACAAAUGUGUAAGUAACUAUGCACGUCUUGACGGUACCUAAUCAGAAAGCCACGGCUAACUACGUG